AUUGAACGCUGGCGGCAGGCCUAAUACAUGCAAGUCGAACGCAGUGGGGACGGGUGAGUAACACGUGGGUAACCUCCCAUCAGAGGGGAUAACACUUGGAAACAGGUGCUAAACCGAUACUGAUGGAUGGACCCGCGGUGCAUUAGCUAGUUGGUGAGGGAACGGAUCACCAAGGCCACGAUGCAUAGCCGAGCUGAGAGGGUGAUCGGCCAAACUGGGACGGAGACACGGCCCAGACGCCGACGGGAGGAAGCAGUAGGGAAUAUUGGGCAAUGGACGAAAGUCUGACCGAGCAACGCCGCUUGAGUGAAGAAGGUUUUCGGAUCGUAAAACUCUGUUGUUAGAGAAGCGGUAUCUAACCAGAAAGCCACGGCUAACUACGUGCCAGCCGCCGCGGUAAUAC
rnacentral:rRNA from 1 species